GGAGACAUAGCAUCUGAAGCAGGCUCCAGGUUCUGAGCUGUCAGCACAGAGCUCGAUGGGGCUCGAACCACCAGAGCCGUGAGAUCAUGCCCUGAGCCAAAGGCCGACGCUUAACCAACUGAGCCACCCAGGCUCCCUGUAUUGGUAUUCCUGUCUCCCAGAAAACUCGGCCCUAACUGCCAUCUGUCCCAUCUGGGGGCCUCUCCAGCUUAUCCCCCAAAGUCUGUGCCUUCCAAAGAUGUCAGCCUCUCCUGAACCCAGACCAGCUAGACCCAGGGGAAUGCAACAAUGGGGAGGAUUCCCAGGAGCCACUGACUGGCCAGGACAACGGCAGCCAUGGCGAUCCAGCGAUGGAAGUCCACGGCGGCAUCGAAGGGUAUGUAGCGGUUGAGGAAGGUCUCGCGCAGGAAGGUGAUGAGGUUGCGGCACAUGGUGAGCAGGAUGUAGGAGAACAUGAAGGAGAUGCUGGCGGCCGUGCCCCGGGACAGGAUGAUGCCCACAAAGGUGGUCUGUGCGAUGCCCGAGGGUGGUGAGGCAAAGGCAUAAUCUGGAGAGGGGGUGUGGGUGGAUCAGCAUGGCACAGACGCUGGGGUCCCU